AUGAAUUGGAUAAGCUGGAACUGUCGGGGGGCGGGGAACUCCACGACAGUUCGCGAUCUCGCGUCGCUUGUUAGGACGCAUUCCUCGAGUCUCGUUUUUCUUUGUGAAACUAGGCAAAAUAAAGAGAAGAUGUAUCGUUUAAGAAAUAGGCUAGGUCUUUCUGGUUUUGAAGCAGUCAAUUGUAAUGGUCGUAGUGGUGGUCUAGCUUUAUUUUGGCCCUUAGAUCCAGACUUCCAGUACUGGAGAACAAUAAUACCACAACCUAGCUCCCGCGACGCUAGCAGCGACUCCAACGCCGCCGCCGCGGCUGCGGCUGCGGCUUAG
rnacentral:rRNA from 1 species